rnacentral:lncRNA from 1 species
CUAACUAUGCAGAAAAGGGUCAGCUUGACCCAGCACUUAACGGGCCUCUUGCAUGAGUCAAAGAUGACUUCAAGGUCCAAAAAAUAAUGGAAAUAUGUUUUGGAAAUCCAAUAAGAAACAGCAUGAACUAAUUACUCGACUUUUUUUUCUAAUAACUAAAAACUAAACCCAAACAAUUAGUCUCCUUUAAAAUUUAAACAAUGAGCUACAAUUAAGCUACAUUUUUGAAUUAAUUAAAGCCAAAAUAAUACUAGAAAACAAACCAGAACUUAAUGAGCAACAUGUACAAAUUAAACAAAAAUUACAAGAACUUAUACAAGAAAAUUGGAAUGAACAAAGAAACCUAUAUUCCGUGCUUUAAUACCCUACAAAAAAUUAAAACAAAGAACACUUAAAGGAAAUGGGGAGGGGCUGGUAAACAGAAAACAGACAGAACAAGGGUAGAAGAAGAGGGAAACGAGUAUAUGAACAAAUAGAAGAUGAAGAUGAAAAGGCAAAAUGAAGGAAAUACCUCGAAGGCCAUAUGGACGAUGCUUAUAGAACUCAGUAGCUCAAACUUGACUCAAAAAUGGUAUUAUCCUUGUGUUCCCUUUUAGAACAAACGAGCGAUUCUCAUUUUAAGGCCAAUCGAUCAAUAGAACUCGAUGACUUUAGAGAUUUUCUUAUCUUAGAUUUAUAGACAAAAAACUGGUCCAAUUUGGCGAGGAUUUGAUUCGAAUUGGUGGUGUAUUAGGACUUAGGAACCGGUUGAUGGUUGAAUGGUUGGAUUUUGGGGGUGGUUUGUGGUAGGUUGCCAGUGACAAUGGCGAUUUAGGGUUGGAGGAUAUGGAGAAGACGAGACUUGGGGUUGGAGGAACUGAUGUGGUCUCUUUGGAUUUAGAGAGUCUUAUGUGAAAUUGGAGAAGUAUAUACAGUCGUUGGAGGAUUCAGAUCAAUUUGAGUGAUGGGAACUCGAUACUAUGUCGUGUAGGGGCUGAC